rnacentral:misc_RNA from 1 species
GAUGAAGAACGCAGCGAAAUGCGAUACGUAAUGUGAAUUGCAGAAUUCAGUGAAUCAUCGAGUCUUUGAACGCACAUUGCGCCCCUUGGUAUUCCGAGGGGCAUGCCUGUUCGAGCGUCAUUACACCACUCAAGCUAUGCUUGGUAUUGGGCGUCGUCCUUAGUUGGGCGCGCCUUAAAGACCUCGGCGAGGCCACUCCGGCUUUAGGCGUAGUAGAAUUUAUUCGAACGUCUGUCAAAGGAGAGGAACUCUGCCGACUGAAACCUCUAGUUUUCUAGGUUGACCUCGGAUCAGGUAGGGAUACCCGCUGAACUUAAGCAUAUCAAUAAGCGGAGGA